GUCCACACUGGAACUGAGACACGGUCCAGACUCCUACGGGAGGCAGCAGUGGGGAAUAUUGGACAAUGGGCGAAAGCCUGAUCCAGCCAUGCCGCGUGUGUGAAGAAGGUCUUCGGAUUGUAAAGCACUUUAAGUUGGGAGGAAGGGCAGCUAAUUAAUACUUCGCUGUUUUGACGUUACCGACAGAAUAAGCACCGGCU
rnacentral:rRNA from 1 species